rnacentral:rRNA from 1 species
UACAGAGGUCUCAAGCGUUGUUCGGAUUCAUUGGGCGUAAAGGGUGCGUAGGUGGCGUCGUAAGUCGGGUGUGAAAUUUCGGAGCUUAACUCCGAAACUGCAUUCGAUACUGCGGUGCUUGAGGACUGGAGAGGAGACUGGAAUUUACGGUGUAGCAGUGAAAUGCGUAGAUAUCGUAAGGAAGACCAGUGGCGAAGGCGGGUCUCUGGACAGUUCCUGACGCUGAGGCACGAAGGUCAGGGGAGCAAACGGG